UCGAUUCCCUUAGUAGCGGCGAGCGAAACGGGAAGAGCCCAAACCAACAAGCUUGCUUGUUGGGGUUGUAGGACACUCUAUACGGAGUUACAAAGGACGACAUUAGACGAAUCAUCUGGAAAGAUGAAUCAAAGAAGGUAAUAAUCCUGUAGUCGAAAAUGUUGUCUCUCUUGAGUGGAUCCUGAGUACGACGGAGCACGUGAAAUUCCGUCGGAAUCUGGGAGGACCAUCUCCUAAGGCUAAAUACUCUCUAGUGACCGAUAGUGAACCAGUACCGUGAGGGAAAGGUGAAAAGCACCCCGGAAGGGGAGUGAAAUAGAACCUGAAACCGUGUGCUUACAAGUAGUCAGAGCCCGUUAAUGGGUGAUGGCGUGCCUUUUGUAGAAUGAACCGGCGAGUUACGAUUUGAUGCAAGGUUAAGCAGUAAAUGUGGAGCCGUAGCGAAAGCGAGUCUGAAUAGGGCGUUUAGUAUUUGGUCGUAGACCCGAAACCAGGUGAUCUACCCUUGGUCAGGUUGAAGUUCAGGUAACACUGAAUGGAGGACCGAACCGACUUACGUUGAAAAGUGAGCGGAUGAACUGAGGGUAGCGGAGAAAUUCCAAUCGAACCUGGAGAUAGCUGGUUCUCUCCGAAAUAGCUUUAGGGCUAGCCUCAAGUGAUGAUUAUUGGAGGUAGAGCACUGUUUGGACGAGGGGCCCCUCUCGGGUUACCGAAUUCAGACAAACUCCGAAUGCCAAUUAAUUUAACUUGGGAGUCAGAACAUGGGUGAUAAGGUCCGUGUUCGAAAGGGAAACAGCCCAGACCACCAGCUAAGGUCCCAAAAUAUAUGUUAAGUGGAAAAGGAUGUGGCGUUGCCCAGACAACUAGGAUGUUGGCUUAGAAGCAGCCAUCAUUUAAAGAGUGCGUAAUAGCUCACUAGUCGAGUGACACUGCGCCGAAAAUGUACCGGGGCUAAACAUAUUACCGAAGCUGUGGAUUGUCCUUUGGACAAUGGUAGGAGAGCGUUCUAAGGGCGUUGAAGCAUGAUCGUAAGGACAUGUGGAGCGCUUAGAAGUGAGAAUGCCGGUGUGAGUAGCGAAAGACGGGUGAGAAUCCCGUCCACCGAUUGACUAAGGUUUCCAGAGGAAGGCUCGUCCGCUCUGGGUUAGUCGGGUCCUAAGCUGAGGCCGACAGGCGUAGGCGAUGGAUAACAGGUUGAUAUUCCUGUACCACCUAUAAUCGUUUUAAUCGAUGGGGGGACGCAGUAGGAUAGGCGAAGCGUGCGAUUGGAUUGCACGUCUAAGCAGUAAGGCUGAGUAUUAGGCAAAUCCGGUACUCGUUAAGGCUGAGCUGUGAUGGGGAGAAGACAUUGUGUCUUCGAGUCGUUGAUUUCACACUGCCGAGAAAAGCCUCUAGAUAGAAAAUAGGUGCCCGUACCGCAAACCGACACAGGUAGUCAAGAUGAGAAUUCUAAGGUGAGCGAGCGAACUCUCGUUAAGGAACUCGGCAAAAUGACCCCGUAACUUCGGGAGAAGGGGUGCUCUUUAGGGUUAACGCCCAGAAGAGCCGCAGUGAAUAGGCCCAAGCGACUGUUUAUCAAAAACACAGGUCUCUGCUAAACCGUAAGGUGAUGUAUAGGGGCUGACGCCUGCCCGGUGCUGGAAGGUUAAGAGGAGUGGUUAGCUUCUGCGAAGCUACGAAUCGAAGCCCCAGUAAACGGCGGCCGUAACUAUAACGGUCCUAAGGUAGCGAAAUUCCUUGUCGGGUAAGUUCCGACCCGCACGAAAGGCGUAACGAUUUGGGCACUGUCUCAACGAGAGACUCGGUGAAAUCAUAGUACCUGUGAAGAUGCAGGUUACCCGCGACAGGACGGAAAGACCCCGUGGAGCUUUACUGUAGCCUGAUAUUGAAAUUCGGCACAGCUUGUACAGGAUAGGUAGGAGCCUUUGAAACGUGAGCGCUAGCUUACGUGGAGGCGCUGGUGGGAUACUACCCUAGCUGUGUUGGCUUUCUAACCCGCACCACUUAUCGUGGUGGGAGACAGUGUCAGGCGGGCAGUUUGACU
rnacentral:rRNA from 1 species